rnacentral:rRNA from 1 species
AACGAACGCUGGCGGCAGGCUUAACACAUGCAAGUCGAACGCACCUUCGGGUGAGUGGCAGACGGGUGAGUAACGCGUGGGAACCUUCCCUGUGGUACGGAAUAGCUCCGGGAAACUGGAAUUAAUGCCGUAUACGCCCUUCGGGGGAAAGAUUUAUCGCCAUAGGAUGGGCCCGCGUCGGAUUAGCUUGUUGGUAGGGGUAAUGGCCUACCAAGGCAACGAUCCGUAGCUGGUCUUAGAGGAUGAUCAGCCACACUGGGACUGAGACACGGCCCAGACUCCUACGGGAGGCAGCAGUGGGGAAUAUUGGACAAUGGGCGAAAGCCUGAUCCAGCCAUGCCGCGUGAGUGACGAAGGCCUUAGGGUUGUAAAACUCUUUUGGCGGGGACGAUAAUGACGGUACCCGCAGAAUAAGCCCCGGCUAACUUCGUG